rnacentral:rRNA from 1 species
UAGCGAAGGGGGUUAGCGUUGCUCGGAAUGACUGGGGCGUAAAGGGCGCGUAGGCGGAUGGUACAGUCAGAUGUGAAAUUCCCGGGCUUAACCUGGGGGCUGCAUUUGAUACGUAUUGUCUUGAGUUCGGAAGAGGGUCGUGGAAUUUCCAGUGUAGAGGUGAAAUUCGUAGAUAUUGGAAAGAACACCGGUGGCGAAGGCGGCGACCUGGUCCGACACUGACGCUGAGGCGCGAAAGCGUGGGAGCAAACAGG